AUUGAACGCUGGUGGCAGGCUUAACACAUGCAAGUCGAGCGGAGAUGAGGUGCUUGCACCUUAUCUUAGCGGCGGACGGGUGAGUAAUGCUUAGGAAUCUGCCUAUUAGUGGGGGACAACAUUCCGAAAGGAAUGCUAAUACCGCAUACGUCCUACGGGAGAAAGCAGGGGAUCUUCGGACCUUGCGCUAAUAGAUGAGCCUAAGUCGGAUUAGCUAGUUGGUGGGGUAAAGGCCUACCAAGGCGACGAUCUGUAGCGGGUCUGAGAGGAUGAUCCGCCACACUGGGACUGAGACACGGCCCAGACUCCUACGGGAGGCAGCAGUGGGGAAUAUUGGACAAUGGGGGGAACCCUGAUCCAGCCAUGCCGCGUGUGUGAAGAAGGCCUUAUGGUUGUAAAGCACUUUAAGCGAGGAGGAGGCUACUGAGACUAAUACUCUUGGAUAGUGGACGUUACUCGCAGAAUAAGCACCGGCUAACUCUGUGCCAACCGCCGCCGUAAAAC
rnacentral:rRNA from 1 species